UCUCAAGAGACUCUGCCCCAAGUGCUUAAAGAUACAUACUGCACAGCUCUGUAUCCAUAACAUCCGAAGGCAGAUGAAGGCUAGGGGGCAUGGGAGGCUGGGCAUGGAGGGUGAAAGUGUCAAGAGAGAGAAGACCUGGCGCCUUACCAGGAUGGAGCCCUCCUGGCCAUGGUGCCGGUGGAACUGCACCAUGGCUUGGAAGGGGAAAUCGCAGAUCACGUCACUGUUGAGGACGAAGAAAGGGUCUGCAGUCUCAGAGAGUAGGUCACGGGCCAGCGCCAGGGGCCCAGCUGGGGGAAGGGGACAGGUCACCACCUUGCUGGAGGUCUGAGUCCCUGGAUUCAGGCUCAGCAGGCCCACUCCAGGCUGGGUCUUACCCUUUUCCUGGCCUUAAACCCUCCCCCAAGGGACCUUUCUGCCUCUACUGACCUGUCCCCAAAGGCUCCUCUUCAUGGGACAUGGAGAUUCGGAUUCCCAGCUGGAAGGAAGAGGCCCCCCCAGUCAGGUUCUACCAGGAUGGGAAGUUGGGCGGGGACCGAGAAUAAGGGCCAAGAGUCUGUGCCUCACCCUCUGCUCCUGUGCCUUCAUUUCCUUCUCCAGCACCUGCGACAUGUAGCUCACGGCCAGGAUCACGUGGUCCACGCCUGCCUGUCAGAACGCAGGCCGACGGGCGGGCUCAGUCAGAAGGUACGGGAGCCCCUGACCCCUAGUCGCUGGCCAUCCCUAGUCCCGCCAGAUCCGAACGCGACUCUGAUCCCGACCCAGGGUCUUACCGCGGCUAGCGCCUCCACUUGGUGCAGCAAGAUGGGCUUAUUGCAGAAGUCCACCAGUGGCUUCGGGGUGCUCAGCGUCAGCGGCCGUAGCCGCGUCCCAUAGCCCCCCACUAAGAUCAGUGCCUUCAUCGCGCCUGCGGACGUUGAGGGGGUGUCCCGGGCUCUGAGGUGCCUGCAGCCCGCCUGGCCGGUCCCUGCCGCGCACUCCCAACGCCGUGCCCGGCCCCGCGCCCUUCACCAACCCGCCUGACAGACUCUGGCUCCACCUCGUCCGCCCGGUCGCCCUGACGCCGGAUCCAGGGCCGCCACAACACAGAACGCGACACCGGGUAGACGGCUGCUGGCCCCGAACUCAGGCCGGACCCGGCGCGGGCAGUGACGCGACCACCGCGGGCCAAUCGGCUGCCGCGUACGUGGCACGGCCGCCGGCGUCGGAACGUUGGAGCGCAGCGCUGCGACAGACGUAGCCAAUGAGCGCCCGAGUACGCCGGGCUGCCAUGGAGACCCGGGCCGGGACCCGCGGGUCAGCUGGCCAUUGGCGGAUCCAAAGGCGGAACUGGCGCCAAGGGCGAGGCCUUGUUCCCUGCUUCGCCGCGGUCCAGCAGCCGCCGGCCCCGCCCCACGGCCCCGGCCUCGCCCCGAGGGUGACCAGGGAAGGCUCCCGGGCCACGGGAUUUUCACAAAGACAGACUCGCCUCCGUUUCUAGCGGCUUUAUUUUUGACAUACACGACCUCAGACACAAGCGGGGCGGGCAGCGCUAGGUGUACAGAAAGGAGCGGGCUCGGACCGAGCACCCCCUCCCCCGCACGCAAGGUCCAAAGCAAACGCAACUGCGGCGGGAGCCACCGGCGCAGGCCUCGGGCGGUGGAGACAGGCUUAGCUUCCAGGAAAGAGCAGCAGAGAGCGAUUCCCAGAACGCGAGGGCUUACAGUUCCCCGAGAAGCAAAAGAACCAGGUCCUUCCCAGGGUUCUCCAUUAUUUUUUCCUCAUUAAAAUAUAUUUUAAGUCAGCACAAACAU
rnacentral:lncRNA from 1 species